rnacentral:lncRNA from 1 species
UACCAAGCCUUAUCCUUGCCAAAUAUGCUUCUAGCUACUUACUAGAGUCCUUAAGUCAAAAUCACUCUUAAAUCCACUUAAGUCUUAAAGACAAUCACACAAAGCAAAGUAACAAACAACCUAGACUCUAAAAUCGGACCCCUAUGAGAGCUUCCUAUUCGCACAAGAUAUAAGNUAUCUAGUCGAGAAUUGGAAAAACAAUUAAGGCGAGGUCUCCUAGGUGAGGCUUAGAUGUUGGAUCUAAGACACACUCACCGUCUACCCAAUUUUAGUUUAUGAGACUUCUUUGAGUCUAGUUACAAAUGAGGGAAGAGCACUUGUGAACUCUAGCACCUCACUUGCUUGGAUUUGGAACUUACAACCAAGAAACAAUGGAAAUUACAAAAGCAAUUGGAUGAAUUGGAAAAGGAAAAUAAACUAGACUAAGGAAUUGAUAAGUGCAGCUUUGGUUGCUCUCAAAAAACUUGAAUCUGCUGGAUUNAAUCACAAAACUCUCAGCUGCAAUGUACGUGUUCAAUGCUGGAUGAAAUUCUGCAGUAGCAGGCCUGUUGCUGUUGCUGCAGAAUGGUGCAAUGCUGUCAGCUCACUGGUGCGUUUCUGCCUUGCCGAGAGUGCACUUUGUGCCUUGUUUUCUCAAGCCAAAACUUCCUUUGAUGCUUCCUUGAGUGUAGAGUAGUCUGAACUAUACCACACC